rnacentral:rRNA from 1 species
UCUUUUUGUAAAAAAAUUUAAAGUCGGGCCUGCCCACUGAAAAAGACUUAAAUGGCCGCGGUAUUUUGACCGUGCUAAGGUAGCAUAAUCAUUAGUUUUUUAAUUGGAAGCUGGAAUGAAGGGUUUGAUGAAAAAAUAACUGUCUCUAAAUAAUUUUAUUAGAAUUUUAUUUUUAAGUUAAAAAGCUUAAAUAUUUUUAAAAGACGAGAAGACCCUAUAGAGUUUAAUAAAAAAAUUAAAUUUUAAAUUCAGAAUUUAGUUUAAUAUUAGAUUAAUUUAUUAAGUUGGGGUGAUUUAAAAAUUUGAUAAACUUUUUUUAUAUUAUUAUAUUAAUUAAUAAAUUUUUGAUCCAAUUAUAUUGAUUAUAAGAAAAAAUUACCUUAGGGAUAACAGCGUAAUCUUAUUAGAGAGAUCAAAUUGAAAAUAAGGGUUGCGACCUCGAUGUUGGAUUAAAA